CGUUACAUAGCGAGCGUGAUGAGAUGUCCCGGGGAGAGAGUGGACGGAGAGGGAACGCUGGAGGAUGAGGGACAUCAAUGCCACAUGUCUGGAGUCAUGCGAUCGAGUUUGCUGACGGAAUACGCCGAGAUUUACCGAGACCUCACGAUGAAGGGAGCAUCCGUCGACAGUCAGACAAAUGACACUGUCAUGGAGUUGCUCUCUUUACCGGUCGGGUCACUAACGUCACAGAUCCAACUCCGCAGAGCUAACAUCACAGACCGAACACCACAGAUCGAACCUGCAGUUCGAGCAUCACAGAUCAAACACCUCUCUUCGAUGACAGUUAAUCAGUGUCAACAACAUCAUCAUGAUCAUCGUCAUUAUUUAUUUAUUUUAUUUUUUUAUUUAUUUAUUUUUUUUUUUCAUUAUUACUAUCAUCAUCAUCAUCAUCAUUGUUAUUAUUUUUAUUUUUAUUUUUAUUAUUAUUAUUAUUAUUAUGUGUCUACUUGUUCUUCCACCACUACUUUACCCUAACAACAAAGACGAUACAGAUGCCGUCUGAACAAAGACCUUAAAAUCGUGAUUAUCGUAUUGUCAACUAUUCCAUGUAAGUUAGCUGUAUAUUUUUUUAAUAAACGUAUAUAAUUGUA